GUCUGAUCUCAGAGGAAGGCUGUUCUUCUCUGGUCUCAGCUCUGAGCUCCAACCCCUCCCAUCUGAGAGAGCUGGACCUGAGCUACAAUCAUCCAGGAGAUUCAGGAGUGAAGCUACUGUCAGCAGGACUGAAGGAUCCUCUCUGGAGACUGGACACUCUCAGAUUUUCACAGGGUCUAAGACUUCGUCAAAUUGACAUGAUGGAAGACAGCGUUGCAGCCAGUUCAGCAACUCUGACCAAAAUGGCAGACACACCAGCAGAUUGGUGGGAGAAGGGAGUUUGCAGUCCUUGAUGAGAGCCACUUUCGACACAAACGAAAGUAUGGAAGAGGAAGAAGGACUGG